CAGGUCUUGACAUCCUCUGACACUCCUAGAGAUAGGACGUUCCCCUUCGGGGGACAGAGUGACAGGUGGUGCAUGGUUGUCGUCAGCUCGUGUCGUGAGAUGUUGGGUUAAGUCCCGCAACGAGCGCAACCCUUGAUCUUAGUUGCCAGCAUUCAGUUGGGUACUCUAAGGUGACUGCCGGUGACAAACCGGAGGAAGGUGGGGAUGACGUCAAAUCAUCAUGCCCCUUAUGACCUGGGCUACACACGUGCUACAAUGGAUGGUACAAAGGGCUGCAAAACCGCGAGGUCGAGCCAAUCCCAUAAAACCAUUCUCAGUUCGGAUUGUAGGCUGCAACUCGCCUACAUGAAGCUGGAAUCGCUAGUAAUCGUGGAUCAGCAUGCCACGGUGAAUACGUUCCC
rnacentral:rRNA from 1 species